GAAAAGUUUGGUUCUGGCUUUAAAGUUGGUUUUUUCAUAAAAAAAUACAUGACACUAUACCGGAUUAGUGAGAUUUUUUACCUUAUAGUCGUUUAAAACGUUUAAUAUUUUGUUAAAAUAUUAUUAUUAUAAAAAAUAUAUUUUGAUUAUUCCACUUCCAUCAGUAUUGAAGAUUAAAAACAAAGGAAACUUAGGUUUAGUUAUUGAAUAAAGAGCUGGUAAAUUAUGGUGCCAGCAGCCGCGGUUAAACCAUUAACUCAAAUCAACUAACAACAGCAAAAAAGACGGUUAAAUAAAACCUAUCAAGAAUACCAACUUAAAUUAAUAAAGUACAAUUUGUUAAAAAAGAACUCCUUAAUAUUCUUCAUAAUUGAAGCCGUAACCUCUUUUACAAAAACUAGGAUUAGAUACCCUACUAUUAAAAGAAAUAAAUAUUAAUUAAUUUUUGCUUGGGCACUACGAACACAUGUUUAAAACCCAAAGAACUUGGCGGUACUUUAACCCACUUAGGGGAACCUGUCCUUUAAUUCGAUAGUCCACGACAAUCUUAUUUAUUUUAGAACACUUCAGCUUGUAUACCGUCGUCAUAAGUUAACCUUAAAAAGAAAAAAAGUCAACAAUAAAGAUAAAUUUAAUAAUUUUCUCUCAGGUCAGAUCAAGGUGCAGCUAAUAAAUAAAGAGGAGAUGGGUUACAAUUGAUAAAUCUCAAAUGGAAUUUUUAAAGAAAAUAAAAACGAAAUAGGACUUAAAAGUAAUUUAUGAAAACAAACACUAAUGAAUAAGGAAAUAAAGUGUGUACAUAUCGCCCGUCGCUCUCAUUGAAAAACGAGAUAAGUCGUAACAUAGUAGGUGUAGCGGAAGCUGCCCCUAACAAAUA
rnacentral:rRNA from 1 species